rnacentral:rRNA from 1 species
CAGUAGCCACGGGAAUACGAAGGGUGCAAGCGUUAAUCGGAAUUACUGGGCGUAAAGCGUGCGUAGGCGGUUUGUUAAGUCUGUUGUGAAAUCCCCGGGCUCAACCUGGGAAUGGCAAUGGAUACUGGCAAGCUAGAGUGUGUCAGAGGAUGGUGGAAUUCCCGGUGUAGCGGUGAAAUGCGUAGAGAUCGGGAGGAACAUCAGUGGCGAAGGCGGCCAUCUGGGACAACACUGACGCUGAGGCACGAAAGCGUGGAGAGCAAACAGGAUUAGAUACCCCAGUAGUCCCUGUCUCUUAUAC